rnacentral:rRNA from 1 species
CCCUUAGAUGUCCUGGGCCGCACGCGCGCUACACUGAGUGUCUGAGAUACGAGUCUGCCUAGCCGGCGAGGUCUAGGUAAUCGCUAAAAGACACAUCAUGCUUGGGAUAGAUUAUUGCAAAUAUUAAUCUUGAACGAGGAAUUCCUAGUAAGCGCAAGUCAACAGCUUGCGUUGAUUACGUCCCUGCCCUUUGUACACACCGCCCGUCGCUACUACUGAUUGGAUGUUUAAGCGAGGUUCUCGAACUGCUAGCGACUUAGCUUCGGUGAGGUCGCAGUGUGGGAAGUGAACCUAGCUUUGGUGUCUAGAGGAAGUAAAAGUCGUAACA